AUUGAACGCUGGCGGCAUGCCUUACACAUGCAAGUCGAACGGUAACAGGCCGCAAGGUGCUGACGAGUGGCGAACGGGUGAGUAAUGCAUCGGAACGUGCCCAGUCGUGGGGGAUAACUGCUCGAAAGAGCAGCUAAUACCGCAUACGACCUGAGGGUGAAAGCGGGGGACCGGAAGGCCUCGCGCGAUUGGAGCGGCCGAUGUCAGAUUAGCUAGUUGGGGGGGUAAAGGCCUACCAAGGCAACGAUCUGUAGUUGGUCUGCGAGGACGACCAGCCACACUGGGACUGAGACACGGCCCAGACGCCUACGGGAGGCAGCAGUGGGGAAUUUUGGACAAUGGGCGCAAGCCUGAUCCAGCAAUGCCGCGUGCAGGAAGAAGGCCUUCGGGUUGUAAACUGCUUUUGUCAGGGAAGAAAUCUUCUGGGCUAAUACCCCGGGAGGAUGACGGUACCUGAAGAAUAAGCACCGGCUAACUACGUGCCAGCAGCCGCUGUAACAC
rnacentral:rRNA from 1 species